AACGGCGAUCUCCACCGCGGCGGCACCGGUAGCACGACCAGCCGCGUCGAAUGCUGCAUCCGAGAGGUGGAGGACGCCGUCGUCGCCAAACGCCGAGAAGCAUGUCCAUUGAUUACUGCUGUGGACGGGAAUAUGGCUAAUCGAAUCGGCGGCAUUCUUCUCUUCUCCUGUGGCCAUUUCUCAGCGGAGAGCAAAAGUGCUGAUAACGUGUUAGAGAGAAUCGAGAGAGAGGAGCGAAUGGAAAACAGAUAUAUGAAUGAACAGUUAUUCUAUUGAUUGAAGAUUGGGGUAUUUAUACCCAGUUUACAAGGCGGUUACAAAAGGAGGCAGUUGCCAAAAGUGGCACCGACAUAGCAGUGAUUAAUAGUUAAUUAACCUAAUUAAUUAAUUCCUAACACAUCCAACCCAUCUAUCGUCGCGCAAUGAGCGAUCUCUGGUUGUGUCCACGUCGGCAGGGUGGUACUGUUCGUGCUGGCCAAUUGGAAGGGAACGUUCCCUUCAUAGAAAAAAAAAAGGCGUGGUCGUUUCCUUCCUCGAGAAGACAGAGAGAGGACGCACGCCACCUCCUCCCCACCUUCGCCAGAUACGACCGCCCAUUCAUCGCCGCCACCCAUCGCGUCGCCCGCCCGCGACCUUCUCUCAUCUUCCACCCGCGACGGCUUCCCGUCCACCUUGAGAUGUACGGCGACGGCGUCCCGAUGGAGAACCCUGGCCGCAGCAGGUCGCCGGCGCUCCUCCGCUGCGCGCCCCAGGUGACCCCCACGGAUCCGCGGCGACCACCGAGCAGGACGAGGACGACGACACCCCGCACAUGGUCGAGCUCGACGGAAGAAGGUGCCUUUGUCGCUGUGGUCUUCGCCGGUGUGCUCCACGUCGUGUACGACGGCGACCUCCUAGCUCGGGCUCUUCGUCAAGUUGGUGAUGUUGCCUAGAGUAUCCCGACGACGACGGAGGAGGAGAACAAGGACCACCGCCCCCUAAGGGCUGACGAGAACCAACACCUUCAAGCCGCCAUGGAGCUCCCAUCCCUCCCCUGGAGUGCGUCAAGGUCCUUCUUCCCCUCCCCGCAGCAUGUAUCUCUCCUACUCCAUCAACUCUUGCUGUUCGUGAUGAUAAAUCCCAGCGUUUCUUGCUUUUUUCUGUUAUUAGAGAGUAGGAAACGUUGACACUUUAGGAAUUGCCAUUGUUAUUUACGCAUAGCAAGGAAUCCUGCCAAGAGAGCCUUGGUGAUGGGGUCACAAAGGACAGCAGCAGCAGAAAGAACAUUAACACCUCUAUCUGAAAAACAUCACUAAUUGUUAGCUUUUGGUAGGAAGACAUGUACGUAACCUAAGAUCAGAGUUUAACUAGAUAUAUAUACAUCCUAAAGCAAAUCAAGGUUCAGAGAGGCACACUUACCUUUGGCAGCAGCUUUUUCUUGCUGUUGAUGUUGAUGAACACAGCAGUCACACGAAUAGAUAAAGCAUACAUAGAAGGAGAAGCUGUCCAAUAAAACUGAUGCAUGUUGACAGUUCCUCGAGUUCUCUUAAGAUGAUAUAAUUGUUUGGUAGACGCAUGGAUGGAUGGACACGUACAGCUAGCAGCCUAGCAGUGCUAGUCACAAAAGAAAAACCUUGUGAUUGAUUCAUGGUCAUGGCACAACAACAAUGGAUACUUGCUAAUUGGUGAUGGUGGUCGUGCCGCUGCCGCCUUCGGCACCAUCCCAGCUCGCAGCCUCAGUCGAUUUGCUCUGCGUCUCCAACCGUCCAAAGAUCCCAACCCUAUCAUCGUCUCCUACCACGAGCUCGGCAACGAGAUCGGACAUGGCAAGUUCGGCUCCGUUCGGAUCUAUGGUAGGAAGACCUGUGAAAUCCAACUCGCCGUUAGGCCUUUUCUGUCGCCUUCUCUCUGGUGGUCUUGGUUGUUGACCAUGGUUGCCUUGUUUUUGUGCUCGUACAACCGUUCAAGAGGUUCGUGCUGAUCGGGUGGGUGGCCCUGGUGAACUACGGCAAGGACUACGGCCGCCUCGUCGUCAUCGUCGACGUUGUUGACCAGAACAGGCCGCAUUGCUCUGUUAUACACUUAUACCACUGUUUCUUGGUAUAUCCCCAAGAACGUCGAGGACACGGUCCACCGCGAGGUCGAGAUCAUGCAACACCUCUCGGGCCACCCCGCCGUCGUCACGCUGAAGGCCAUCUGCGGUGGUUGCAAAUCGAAGCCUGAAAGGGACAAGGCGGUUGGGAGUCAGGGACUACAUAUCCCUCCUCUCCUUGAUUUUCUGUCCAAAAUAUAAGGAAGACGUAUGGGUUCUCGUCAAAUGCAAGCUGUACUACUGUGAAAAAGUGUACUAAUUUUUGCAGUGCAUUAACUUGAUCAUGGGAUUCUCCGUGAUGGCAGCAAAGAGACAACAUGGGGUGGAGAUGCAGGUCGUCAGUACACUGAAGGCGUUGCGUUCUGUCAGGGCGUUGGGUCCGAUGCAGAGCAUCGGAGACGUUGCCGUUGUCCUUGCACGACUCAUCAGAUCCAACCUCGGGCCCGCGCCAGCUAUGUACGGAGCCCUCGAUACGGUGCUCAGUCUCUGCAACUGCAACUUGAUGCCUUGCAUGAAGCUGCCAGCUAUUGAGGCCCUCUCUUAAUUACCCAGUUCUGAGUGGAGUCAGUUGGGGUCGUCUAUAAAUUUUCUUGUGAUGUGCUUGCAAACCAAGACUUUGUUGAGGCUUUUCUGCGGGGUCAGGGGAGACACCAGUGAUCAAGCGGCAGCGGCCUACAGCCUGGGAGACCUGCACAAGGGAGCCACCAAGAUCUCCAACGACAUCCUCGACUCUGUCGGGGUUUCAGUAUAUGCAACAACAAAAAAUUCGACAACAGUAUACGCGAAAAAUGGUGCUAUUUGCGUUUGCUGCAAUCUCCUCAUACUUACCAAGGGUUGAGUGCCCAACAUUCCCGAAGAUGGCACCCGAGACGUGUCCGCAGCCAGAAGCAGCGAAGUUGCCGUACAAGAAGCUGGGAGAUUCAGAUCUCCUUAUUAGCGAGAUAACUCUUGGAACAAUGAUCUUUGGAUAGCAAAGAACAGAGAAGGAAUCCCAUGAUAUGCUCUCUUAUUCUUUUAAUCAGGGCAUCAACAUACUGGACACCGCAGAAAUUGCCGGCUAGAUAGGUAUGUCGCACGUUACGGUGAAUUCAGUUACAAUUCAACCAAAUGGAGGCCAAGCGUCCCAUGUGUGGAUCAAUGGAAAGCUUUCAGGAACUAAUUGGUAAAGGGAAGGUACAAUAUAUCGGUGUUUCCAAUGAAACCACGUACGGAGUAAUGCAGUUUGUACAUGCUGCAAAGCUUGAUGGACUUCCAAAGAUUAUGAGCAUCUAGAAUGGUUAUAGUCAACUUGUGAGAUACAGCUUCGAAGGUGAAACAGAGAUGUCAGCCAUAAUUUAUUCAUUUUCAUUCACUGGAAUUCCAUGCCAUCCCUGUUGUUCUGAAACUUAUUUGCAGACAUGUAAUUUAGAGAAAGAGGGAGGAAAGAACUCCUCGGUUGUAGUUCAGAUCAUCGGCCUGCUGUCAUCUCUUUCAUAAUUAAAAUUUUAGUCGAAUAGUUAUGUUUAGUGGUUAUCAUUCAUCAUCAUCAUGAGAUGAUUUCAUUUUGUGGAUGCUUGAGUUUAGAAAAUUUAGGCUCUGCAGUCCAUCAUCUCUAUAGGUAUAAGUCUUUGUAGGAUGUAAGACUGCUACUCUAUGUUCAUAUAAGCCUACCUAUUAAUAAUAUUUCCGAUUUAUUUUAUAAA